ACUUCGAGCGCCUCUUCUACGUGGGC
rnacentral:piRNA from 1 species